rnacentral:rRNA from 1 species
AUGAACGCUGGCGGUCUGCUUACACAUGCAAGUCGAACGCAACCUUCGGGUUGAGUGGCGGACGGGUGAGUAACGCGUGAGAAUCUGCCUUGGGGUCGGGGACAACCACUGGAAACGGUGGCUAAUACCGGAUAAGCCUUUGGGUAAAAGAUUUAUUGCCCCAAGAGGAGCUCGCGUCUGAUUAGCUAGUUGGUGAGGUAAAAGCUCACCAAGGCAGCGAUCAGUAGCUGGUCUGAGAGGACGAUCAGCCACACUGGGACUGAGACACGGCCCAGACUCCUACGGGAGGCAGCAGUGGGGAAUUUUCCGCAAUGGGCGAAAGCCUGACGGAGCAAGACCGCGUGAGGGAGGAAGGCUCUUGGGUUGUAAACCUCUUUUCUCAGGGAAGAAGCUCUGACGGUACCUGAGGAAUCAGCCUCGGCUAACUCCGUGCCAGCAGCCGCGGUAAUACGGAGGAGGCAAGCGUUAUCCGGAAUUAUUGGGCGUAAAGCGUCCGCAGGUGGCGAUUCAAGUCUGCUGUCAAAGCACGGGGCUUAACUCCGUUAAGGCAGUGGAAACUGAAUAGCUAGAGUGCCGUAGGGGUAGAGGGAAUUCCCGGUGUAGCGGUGAAAUGCGUAGAGAUCGGGAAGAACAUCGGUGGCGAAAGCGCUCUACUGGACGGCAACUGACACUCAGGGACGAAAGCUAGGGGAGCGAAUGGGAUUAGAUACCCCAGUAGUCCUAGCUGUAAACGAUGGAUACUAGGUGUAGCUUGUAUCGACCCGAGCUGUGCCGAAGCUAACGCGUUAAGUAUCCCGCCUGGGGAGUACGCACGCAAGUGUGAAACUCAAAGGAAUUGACGGUGGCCCGCACAAGCGGUGGAGUAUGUGGUUUAAUUCGAUGCAACGCGAAGAACCUUACCAGGGCUUGACAUGUCCGGAAUCCCGGUGAAAGCUGUGAGUGCCUUCGGGAGCCGGGACACCGGUGGUGCAUGGCUGUCGUCCGCUCGUGUCGUGAGAUGCUGGGUUAGGUCCCGCAACGAGCGCA